UAAGGACUUUGGGGGAAGAUAUUUCAUA
rnacentral:piRNA from 1 species